rnacentral:misc_RNA from 1 species
GAUGAAGAACGUAGCGAAAUGCGAUACUUGGUGUGAAUUGCAGAAUCCCGUGAACCAUCGAGUCUUUGAACGCUAGUUGCGCCCGAAGCCAUUUGGUUGAGGGCACGUCUGCCUGGGCGUCACAUAUCGUUGCCCGAUGCCUAUUACACUGUGAUAGGAAAUUCUAGGGCGAAAGAUGGCUUCCCGUGAGCGUUGUUGCCUCGCGGUUGGUUGAAAAUUGAGUCCUUGGUAGGGUGUGCCAUGAUAGAUGGUGGUCGAGUUUGCACGAGACCGAUCAUGUGUGCGCUCCCCAAAAUAUGGACUCUUUGACCCCACACGCGUCUUUUGACGCUAAUGAGAGACCUCAGGUCAGGCGGGGCUACCCGCUGAGUUUAAGCAUAUCAAUAAGCGGAGGA